rnacentral:rRNA from 1 species
UACGUAGGCAGCAAGCGUUGUUCGGAGUUACUGGGCGUAAAGGGUGUGUAGGCGGUUGUUUAAGUUUGGUGUGAAAUCUCCCGGCUCAACUGGGAGGGUGCGCCCGAAUACUGAAUGACUAGAGUGCGGGAGAGGUGAGUGGAAUUCCUGGUGUAGCGGUGAAAUGCGUAGAUAUCAGGAGGAACACCGGUGGUGUAGACGGCUCACUGGACCGUAACUGACGCUGAGACGCGAAAGCGUGGGGAGCGAACAGG